GAAUAUUGCGCAAUGGGCGAAAGCCUGACGCAGCGACGCCGCGUGGGGGAUGAAGGUCUUCGGAUUGUAAACCCCUUUCGGGAGGGAAGAUGGAAUGGGGUAACCCAUUUGGACGGUACCUCCAGAAGCAGCCACGGCUAACUUCGUGCCAGCAGCCGCGGUAAUACGAAGGUGGCAAGCGUUAUUCGGAUUUACUGGGCGUACAGGGAGCGUAGGCGGUUCGGUAAGCCCUUUGUGAAAUCUUCAGGCUUAACCUGGAAAAGUCGGAGGGGACUGCCGGGCUAGAGGACGGGAGAGGAGCGCGGAAUUCCCGGUGUAGCGGUGAAAUGCGUAGAGAUCGGGAGGAAGGCCGGUGGCGAAGGCGGCGCUCUGGAACGUUUCUGACGCUGAGGCUCGAAAGCGUGGGGAGCAAACAGG
rnacentral:rRNA from 1 species